UUGCACCAAAAGCACACGCGUUUGUGAAGAAAAGUUUAAGUGACCAAUUAAAUUAAAUAACAACUAAAAACUAAUUCUGGAAAUGAUCGUGCAAUAUAACAUCGACGGAGUUAGUGGGAAGAAGAGAUUGAAGGCGUUUCCAAAUUUUUAUGGAGUUUUGAUCGAUAGUAUAUCCAAAGUGGUUCCGGGGACCUCGGCUGAGAAAG